UGCCAGCCGCCGCGGUAAUACGGAGGGGGUUAGCGUUGUUCGGAAUUACUGGGCGUAAAGCGCACGUAGGCGGAUUAGAAAGUUAGAGGUGAAAUCCCGGGGCUCAACCCCGGAACUGCCUUUAAAACUACUAGUCUAGAGAUUCGAGAGAGGUGAGUGGAAUUCCGAGUGUAGAGGUGAAAAUUCGUAGAUAUUCGGAGGAACACCAGUGGCGAAGGCGGCUCACUGGCUCGAUACUGACGCUGGGGGGGGAAAUGUGGGGAGGCAACAGGAUUUGAAU
rnacentral:rRNA from 1 species